UGUCGCCAGUGGUGCGUUUGCCUGAGUUCUUA
rnacentral:piRNA from 1 species